AUAAUUGAGAAGAGUUGCUCGCCUUAUCCGCCCCCAAACCUGGAAACGUGGAAUAGUCGAACUGAAACAAAUUUAAAGUUCAAGUUCCACAAAGAACCUUUUAUGCUCUAGUCUUCGAGAAAGCAUCAUCAACCAGUUCUUUAAAGCAGCGUUUUGACUGGAUGGGCUGAAGUGUGAAAUAUGAACGAACGGACAUGAAUGAACAAUCUCAACUAAACAUCUCCAAAUAAGAUGACUUUUUUUACUGGAGGAAACAAUAUUAUGGACACAGGACUUCAGGACUUGAUCUGUUUGGACUCUCAUUCUGAUGGCACCCA